UACGCGUCCUAAUAAAUGCUGGCGAACAGAAAAGGCUUCGAGCACACACACAAGAUGUCACUAACGAACUCUUACAAAUAAGCCAACAUUCCAAUCCAAAUCCCUUUCAUCUCUUCAUUUUCCAACGCAUUUCGCUCCAGUUCUACAUCAAUCAAGCCAUGAAACGCCAACGACUAUCUAGUUUCCAAAACCUCCACCAUCUCAAUUUCGAAGCAACCGAGCUCCGAUUAGGAUUACCGCAAACAAGCUGUAGAACUGAGCAACAACCAGCAGAGGAACGUAGUUCACAUUCACAAAUAUCCGCCAAGCAGAGCAAGAGCGAAACCAGAUCCGGAGGAAGAACCGAUUCUAAUUCCAUUUUGACUUCCACUAAUCCUUCUUCAGAUAAUCAUGCCGAUCAUUGCCAUGAACACACCAAGACGCAAGUGGUUGGAUGGCCGCCGGUGAGAUCGUACAGGAAGAAUGUGAUUAUUGAAACAGAGGAGAAGAAGAAGAAGAAGGAGAUUGUGAAUAUGGAGUUGGGAUUAAUGAGUGGAAUGUAUGUGAAAGUGAGCUUGGAUGGAGCUCCAUACCUAAGGAAGAUUGAUCUCAAGCUUUAUCAAGGCUAUCAACAAUUGUUGGAUGCUUUGGAAGACAUGUUCAACUUCAAAAUUGGGAGAAAUUCAGAAAGAGAAGAUUACUAUGGGCGUGAUUAUGUUCUAACUUAUGAAGAUAAAGAUGGUGAUUGGAUGAUGGUUGGAGAUGUUCCAUGGAAUAUGUUUACUUGUUGCUGCAAGAGAAUGAGAAUGAUGAAAGGAUCAGAUGCCAGAGGGUUGAGUUGUUUAUAAUUUUGUAUUUUAAGAAGAAAAUGACAAAAUAUUAAUAAUAAUAAAGUUAUUUGUUUUAGUUAAAAUUUAUGAGAAAUGUAUUUUGUAAUUCAAUUGUCCAAAAAAAUAAAAGUAUAGCUCAAUUUAUUUAUGAAUUUAAAGAUGUCAUAGUAUUGUAUUCUUCUGUAUAAAAAAAGAAAAACUAGUUGGACAUGCAACCUA